AGAGGGUGCAAGCGUUAAUCGGAAUUACUGGGCGUAAAGGGCGCGUAGGCGGUUAUUUAAGUGAGGUGUGGAAUAUCAGGGCUUAACCUUGAGUGGUCAUUUUAAACUGGAUAACUAGAGAGCGGAAGAGGUGAGAGGAAUUUCCGGUGUAGCGGUGAAAUGCGUAGAUAUCGGAAGGAACAUCAGUGGCGAAGGCGACUCACUGGUCCGCAGCUGACGCUGAGGCGCGAAAGCGUGGGUAGCAAACAGGGAUUAGAUACCCGUGGUAGUCCACGCUGUAAACGAUGAGAACUAGCCCGUUUGCUUUUAGGAGUGAGUGGCGCAGCUAACGCAUUAAGUUCUCCGCCUGGGGAUACGGUCGCAAGAUUA
rnacentral:rRNA from 1 species